UACGUAGGGUGCAAGCGUUGUCCGGAAUUAUUGGGCGUAAAGGGCUCGUAGGCGGUUUGUCGCGUCGGGAGUGAAAACUCAGGGCUUAACCCUGAGCCUGCUUCCGAUACGGGCAGACUAGAGGUAUGCAGGGGAGAAUGGAAUUCCUGGUGUAGCGGUGAAAUGCGCAGAUAUCAGGAGGAACACCGGUGGCGAAGGCGGUUCUCUGGGCAUUACCUGACGCUGAGACGCGAAAGCGUGGGGAGCAAACAGG
rnacentral:rRNA from 1 species